CUGGUCCUAUUUUCAACUCUGCUGAGAAUUUGAAAUUUCUAAUCUCUUUCCAGGAGGGGUCAGCUGGGUAAUCAAAGAGACACAGAGAAGGCUCAUUUGGGACGUGACCUCCUUCCCUAACCUAUGGAGGAUCUAUCAUGGUGGCAUCCUGAUUUUAGAAUAUGCCUACUUCUCCUCUCCUGGAAUGAGGGUUGGCCUUAAUGGCUGGCUUCCAGAGAACAGGCUGUUGCAGAAAUGAUGAUGUUUUAAUUUUGAGGUUGGGUGGUAAAAAACAAAUAUACUGUCGUUUCUGUGGCUCUUCCAUCUUGCUCUGGGGGAAGCCAGCCACCAUGCUGUAUGAUGAUUCCAGCAACCUACAGAGAGACCCACAGGGUCAGGAGCAGAGGCUUCCUGCCUGCAGACGGAUGAGCAACUGUCCUGGGAACGGCUCCAUUGGCCCGUCAAGUCUCCAGAUGACCGCAGCCCCAGCCAAACCUUGGCCACUGUCUCCUGAGACAGCCCGAGCACAGCCACGGGGCCCAGCUCUUCCCAGGCUCCUGGCCCCCAAGAAAAUGAAAAGAAGGAGAAAGCAGGGACCCCUCUGUAAGAAAAGGCUCCCUCGUUCCAGAGAGGAGGGGAGAGCGGGUCUGCAACCAGAAGGUCAUGUUCUGAACUGGAGGUGAUCUACUGGUGAGCUACACCCCCAGCCCUGGAGGAUUAGGGUCCUUAUAAGAGGACCCCCUACCCAUGCUCCUGAGCUCUCUUGUGAAGACACGAGGAGAAGCGGGUAGGCAGUCGGCAGCCUGGAAGAGGGUCCUCACCAGAACCAGCCAUGCUGGCACCCCAGUCGUGGACUUGCAGCCUUAUAGCAGGGCUCAGCUCCGUUCCCUGUUCCCACCAGCCUCUCCCUUCUCUCAGCUUCAGAUGUGUGUUUGGUAAAUCCAGAAAAAUCUCCCAGGUGCUGGCCAGCUGCCUAAAUGAGGAACAAGGUGACAGCCCCGAAUUCACACGUCCCCAGGUACCUCUUGGCAGCUGUUAACCUGUAUAAACCGUGACUUAAAUGAGCAGCCCAGAUGGCCGCCCGGUGAGCUAUGAACACUGGUUCUCCCUGCAUUUCUCUGAGAAAGUGGCGUGAGACUGUCUUUUGGUACUUGAGAUGGUGGAGCUUUGCCAUAAUUCAAAGGAGCCGCGAGAGCUGUGCGGUUAAACCCCGGGGGGUUGAGGGAUCACCUGGAGAGCAGGUUAGAAAUACAGACUCAGUCCACACCCAGCGAUUCCGAUUCAUUGAGUGCUCCCCAUGGAUCUGCACUGGUAAGCCAUCUGUGGCACACUCACAGAAACUCUGGGUUAACAGUUUCUCCAGGCAGAGUCAAGAAAGCAUCCCACAUCCAUCACCCCUGAAAAUUAUUACGAUGGUGACCAUAAGGAGUGGGUAGUGGUUGAAGUGUGUAGGACAGGGCUUCGGAGGUGCUGGUUCCUGGGACUGUAGAGUCUGUGGAAAUACACCAUGUUGUGCACUAGGUGUUCCCCAUGGAUCUGCAUUGGUAAGCCAUCUGAUACGUUUUCUCUUUGUAUAUGAUAUUGCAAUAAAAGUUUACAAAAACCAGUUCCAGGGGGAUAGAUAAAUAUAACUAACAACUAACAAGAUUAGCAAUUUCUUGAGUAACAUAACCAACUGACAUGUUGGGAGAAGAAAAAACUAACUAAAUCACUUUAGAAAAUCAGAUCCUAGUUACAUAUUGUAAAACUACAGGUAAAAGAACUAUGGAACUAUUAUACGCUAGUGAAGUUAAGUUGUUUUUCGUAAAGGGCAUGGGUGAGCAAUUCUGAAAUUAUUUUUAUGUGUAUACUAGUUCAUGCAAAUAAAUAAAUCUAUUGUAGAUAAUGAAGCCAGCUUUUUCAAUAUCAAAGAAAGAAGAUAAAAGAUGAUGGUAACUGAAGAAUCAAAGGAGCCAUGCAGUAAAUUGGAUUAGAGAAUAAAAUAUGAUGAACUGAGAAGAGCAAAAUGUCACAUCAGUGGUUUUCUUGUCAAAAACAAAAACCAAAAACAACCUCAGUCUAUUCAUGGAAAAAACCCAGCAGCAUCAAGUCCUGACAAGGACGUGGAACAACUAGAAUUCUCAUACAUUGCUGGACCCCAAGAGACAGCCUCCGGCAGCCAUCUUUGUACAACGGGAUCCUGUCCCCCUGGCCAAAGCUGAUUAGAGGUGAGGUGGGUGGUGUACCUAAAGGGUUCUCAUCUCUUCUGAAGAGUUUGGAAAGGGAGCAACAGCUGCCUGCACCAGGCUCUUCAAGUGAUUGGGCCUGUAACGCCACCUCUAGAAUUGUGGGACAGUUGUUUUCUGUCAUUUAAG